CAAUUCUUUGGAUUUCCAAUGACUUGUCUCGUAGAAAAGGGGUGGCCUUUCCAAAAAGCCUUGGUUUACCAUGAUUGCGUUCACAAAGAAGUAACUGAUCAAACAGUGCCACUCGGGGAUCAUUUAGAUCAAGCUCGCAUCGAUCGCCAAUGAAUUCUGCAAAUGCCUGUGAGCUACAAAGUGAUGAAAUCCAACUCCCGUGAACUUUGGAAGCUUGCCGAGUAAAUUUAUUGAAGUCGAAUGAUCC